rnacentral:rRNA from 1 species
AUGGCCCACAACGAUGAGGCCGGCGGUUCGGGCGGCAAGCAAUUCUGGGAGCUGUCCCAGGAGAUGGAGGAAGAACCUCACCGCUAUGAGGAUGCCGCGGAAGACACCGAUCCUGACUACACAACCCCUAGUAGCGUCGGGGAUGACACCACUGAUGGUGCCGCCGAGGAUGCCACCACUGAUGAUGGCGGCGCACACACAGAUGGCAGCCAACCGAAGAGGCAACGGAACGACCGGCGCCCGAGCGUGCUCGGCACCAUCAAGGAGGAAUUUACUGAAGUGAACUCCGACAGGCAUCCAACGGUGCCCAAAGAAUUAGUCAAGGGGUACUUGGUUCAGCUCGGGUGCAUUCUCCGGAGCAUCGUCUCGAUCAACACCGAGAACCUAAGGCAUAAGGACCGAGGGAAUUUGCGCAGCCUCCUCUUCACGAAGCUGCACGAACGAUACAAGUUCCCCGCUGACUUUGCAAACACACGCCUCUCAGGGAAUAAAGCGAACAGUGCCGCCCUCAUGAAGAUGAGCACAACCCUGUCUACUUGGAGAAGCACGGUGAAGGCAAUGAUUGAAAAAGGUGAUAGUUAUGAGAAGAUCAAGGCGAAAUAUCCUUUGAUCAGCGAAGAUGACUACAAGGAGUUCAAGAUCAAGUGCGAGAGUAGCGCAACCUCCAAAUCAAGUCAGCGAGGGAAAGAAAUGCGGGAGUUGAACUUAGGGGUCCAUCAACUCGGUCCCGGCGUUUACAGAGUGGCGGAGCCUAUAUGGGACAAGGAGGACGCGGAGCGUGCCGAGCAAGGCCUACCGCCCCGCUUUGAGAAAUACCGUGACAAGCAGACCAGGAACUAUGUCAGGGCUCGGUACAAGGAGGACCCGGUAACAAAGGAGCUUACCACGGAUCCGAAGACCAUGGCGCUUGAGCUUGUUCUGGUUUCUUCCGCAGGACACUGA